AGCUCAAUUAUCCGUGACGUUUUAACCAAAAGAACCUUAUUUAGAGUGUAAUUCCUUAUCAGGAAGAAAAUAUAAAUCUAAUAUAGAUUUAUAUUCUGCGACUUUUCGUUCACUCAAGUCCAAAUCUACCUCUGUCAAUAUUAAAUCUAUAUAACGUUGUCCCUAACAAGUAUAGAUCUAAAUCUAUAUAAAAAUGAGUGUUAGGGUAUUUGUAAGCAAUUCUGCAGUUAGUAAUGAGGUUCGCAAAAAACAGCAACAUAUACAAGAUGUAUUAACAGCACUGAAAAUAAACUUUGAAGUGAUUGAUGUCCUUGACCCUAGAAAUGACGAGCAGUUAAAGUUCAUGCAUUCAAACAGUAAACCAAAGAAACCCAAUCAGAAGCCUGUGCCACCUCAAGUGUUUAAUGGAGACGAGUAUUGUGGGGACUAUACAAAGUUUGCUGAGUCAUUAGAGUGGGAUCAGUUAUAUGAAUUUCUUAAGCUAGAAAAUCCAAACAAGAUUUCAAAGGCCUCAGUUCUUAUUACAGGGGAGGAAGAGGAAGAAAAAGAAAAAACAGAUCAGCCUGAGAAAACAGAAGACACAGCUGAGAAGAAUGAAGAAGAAAAGACAGAUGGAGAGAAGGAGGGGGUGGUUGAGGUGGAAAAAGAAAAAACAGAAGAGAAAGGUGAGGAUGAAAAAGAUAAUCAGGAGGAGAAAAAAGCAGAAGAGAAAAAAGAGGAAGAGAAAAAAGAAGAGAAAAAAGAGGAUGCAGCAGCUGCCUUCACGAACAGAUUUAAAAAACCUUUUGAUGAUGAUGAGGAAGAAGAGCUGGACUUGAGCGCCUUUGAGGAAAAAGAAGAGAAGAAAGAAGAUGAGAAGCAAGAAGAGAAAGAGGAUCCAUCUGCAGCUUUCAAAAAUAGAUUUAAGAAACCUUAUGAUGAUGAUGAAGAGGAAACCUUAGACCUGAGUGCUUUUGAGGAAAAGGAAGAAAAAAAAGAAGAUGAAAAGGGAGAAGAUGAAAAGGGAGAAGUGAAAGAGGAGCAUUCAGCUGCCUUUAAAAAUAGAUUCAAGAAACCUUAUGAUGAUGAUGAAGAGGAAACCUUAGACCUGAGUGCUUUUGAGGAGAAGGAAGAAGAGAAGGCUAAAGAAAGUAAAGCAGAAGAUGAGAAAAAGGAAGAUGUUGCAUCUUCUUUUAAAAACCGUUUUAAAAAAGCUUUUGAUGAUGAAGAAGAAGAACUGGAUUUAAGCAAAUAUGAAGAAAAAGAAGAUGAAAAGAAAGAGGUAGAAGAAGAAAAAAAGAAAGAAGAAAUAGAAGAAAUUAAGAAAGAGGUAGAGACGAAAGAAGAGGUGAAAAAGGAGGACCCAGCAGCAACUUUCAAAAAUAGAUUCAGAAAGGAUUAUGAUGAUGAAGAAGAGUUAGAUUUAUCUCCUGUGGAAACUGAAGAGGACAAACAAGUGGAUGCCAAAGUAGAGAAAGAAGAAACUAAGAAAGAAGAAACAUCUUUCAAAAAUAGAUUCAAGAAACCUUUUGAUGAGGAGGAAGACACUUUGGACUUGUCUGAGUUUGAGCAGAAAGAGGAAGACAAAAGUGAAACCAAAAAGGAAGAAAGUGAACCCAAAGAAGAAGUACAAGAGACAAGUGAGACAAAGGCUGAGGAAGACUUGAGUGAUGCCACAGAGAAGGAAACAAGGAAAGUGGAGCCCACAGAAUCACAAGAAGAAGCAAAGACAGAAGUGAGUAAAGUGGACAGUGAACCUGUUACUAACAAAGAUGAUCCAGCGUCAGCUUUCAAGAGUAGAUUUAGGAAAGCUGUGGACGAUGAGGAUGAGGGUCUCUCCUUUGAUAAUAAAGACAAGGAAGAUGUUUUGGAGAAAAAAGAGGAAGAAAAGAAAGAAGAGUUGAUAGAGGAGAAAAAAGAGGAAGAGGUAAAGCAGGAAGACAAGGUGGAGGACAAAAAAGAGGAUAAAGAGAAGGCAGAAGAGAAAAAAGAGGAUGAAGAGAAGGCAGAAGAGAAAAAAGAGGAUGAAGAGAAGGCAGAAGAGAAAAAAGAGGAUGAAGAGAAGGCAGAAGAGAAAAAAGAGGAUGAAGAGAAGGCAGAAGAGAAAAAAGAGGAUGAAGAGAAGGCAGAAGAGAAAGCAGAAAAAGUAGAAGAAAAAGAAGAAAAGGUAGAGGAAAAAAAAGAAGCAGAAGAAACGAAAAAGGAAGAAGAUGAAAGUGCAUCCUCAAGUUUUUCAAGAUUCAGAAGGAGAAGGGAUGAAGAUGAAGAAACUCCACUUUUUGAUGAAAAGAAGGAAGAAAGUACGAAGGAAGAACCUCAAGCAGUAGAUAGCAAAAAAGAAGAAAAACUGUCAGAAGAUCAGGCAGAAAAAUCUGCUGAAGAUGACAGAGAGGCCAGGCGAAGGCGUAGGAGGGAGGAUCGAGAGAAAGAGACCACGGAGACUCCCCCACAGGAAGAUGAUAGAGAAGCCAGAAGAAGACGGCGCCGUGAAGAAAAGGAGAAAGAAACUGCUCCAGCUGAAGAGGAGGAUGAUCGAGCGGCCAGGCGAGCAAGGCGCCGCCGUGGUGGUGAUGAAUGAGAAACUUGGAGGGCAAACCAGUGGAGGAAGAUUAGUUUGUUGUGCAUAGAUCAGAAUCCUUAUCUGUUUGACUGUUCAAAUUCAAAUGUAGAAUGACUUUGGUUCAUGAAUGAUGCCAGACCCUAUACUUUGGUUACCCCAGCACAUCACAGUUUAAUAAACCUACUGGAUUUGACCAGAUGCCUUUAUCUUUAGUUUUCCUUUAGGGUGACUACUUUGCACAUAUACCCGAGUCCCAACGUCGGAGCUCAAAACUAAACAAUAACAUUUCUGUUUUGCAGUUGACUAGCUCUAACCUUGCUACUGAAUAUAAAAUGUAGAUAAAAUAUAGUCUGUACCCUAGUUCCUGUUUACCCAUACUAGCUAAUAGUGAGAGUGCUUCAUAUGAUUUGCUUGUCAAGAGAAUUCGUCCUGUAAAAGGGGAAUCUCUGUGUAGACCUUUGCAAUGGACAACAAAGAAAUAACUCAUUCAGAAUUAUUUUCUUUUGUUAAUUUUUAUAAAGUCACCAAAAUGUUCAGCUACAUUUACAUCUGUUUAUUUUAAAAUUAUUUCUCUACAAAUGUUUUGUAAGUGAAUUUUUUUGCUGGAUGAUUUUUAUUUGGAAGCAUAAUGCUUAUAGUUUAGUUUUAUGCCUAUUUAUAGCCCAAUUUAUUUUCAAAACAAUUUCAACUGCUUACUGUUUUUUUAGUUAAUUAUUUACAAUUUGACUUUGGUAGUUGAAUUCAACCUGUUAAAAUGGCCACACCUGCUUAAAGUAUUGGAAUCUGAUCUGACUGAAUGGUCGAUAAAUUCAUGUCCAACAUGACAUUUAAUUUAUUUUCUAUAGCUUCAUUGAAAGCUCUGGUAAGAAUGAUGUAAUCAAAAUAAAUAGUCAAUUUAUAUUGUCACAUGUUGCUAGGAUAUAUACUGUGAAAGCAGCACAUUUUACCAUUGAAACUUUUGUCAUGUUAUUAUGUUUGAUCAAGUGUUGCCAUAGUGUGGUUGGUAGUUUUCAUGUCAUGUAUUUUUUGUACACUUGAAACUCAAGUUAUCAAACUUGAUACUAACAAUACUAUUUUUUUAAGCUCAGAAUUAAUUGUAUGUACAGAGAGUGUGUAAUGUUUCACUUUGUACAUUAAACAGAUGCUAGAUGAGACAUAGAAAAAAUAUUCUGGAAAGGAUAAAUGUUAGUGAUCUGUUACUUAUUUUAAGUGGGGGUGGAUGUUUCUCAUAAACCCAAGUUUAUAAUCAUUCUGUUUACUUCACAUUUUAUGGCUUAAGUCUGUUGUAUUUACUCUUAUAAAACUCAUGUUGUUUGACAAGUGAUACAAGUAUGUGAUAACCCCCCACUCUUCAAUCUUGGCCACUAUAUUUCUAUGCAUAGGAACCACAAGACACACUAUCAUGUAUAUAGUGAAAAUGAAUUUUUUUUUUUUUUGUAUAUAAUUAUGUCAGCUAGGAUUUUUUUCAAUUGAAUAAACAAAUUCAACUCCUCA